CAAGGAUAAGUGCAAUGUUUGUUUCAUAUAACAAUGCAAUUGGAGUUGCGACCUGCAUAAUUUCCAUAUCUGAUGCAGACAAAGCUGUUGUCGAGCAGGAGUCAGUUAUAUUUUGCUUAUCACAUAAAGUGAAUCACAGUAAUUUCCUACACAAAUGUUUUUUUUUAUAGUCUUUUUGAAGUCUUAUGUUACACUAAAGUAAUAAAUUAAAUAAAGUAACUAACGGAAAUAUCCAUCAAAACAUUGAUUUUGAUCAGUGCUACAAAUUAUGAAUAAAACUUCCUCUGAAGGCCUUACACCUUUUUAAAAUAACUGAUAUAUAAAUUUAGUGAGGCCAAUAAGCUGAUGUCCUGAGCUGGUCUUCAGCAUUU